rnacentral:rRNA from 1 species
GUCGUCAGCUCGUGUCGUGAGAUGUUGGGUUAAGUCCCGCAACGAGCGCAACCCCUAUUGUUAGUUGCCAUCAUUCAGUUGGGCACUCUAGCGAGACUGCCGGUAAUAAACCGGAGGAAGGUGGGAUGACGUCAAAUCAUCAUGCCCCUUAUGACCUGGGCUACACACGUGCUACAAUGGUUGGUACAACGAGUUGCGAGUCGGUGACGGCGAGCUAAUCUCUUAAAGCCAAUCUCAGUUCGGAUUGUAGGCUGCAACUCGCCUACAUGAAGUCGGAAUCGCUAGUAAUCGCGGAUCAGCACGCCGCGGUGAAUACGUUCCCGGGCCUU